UUCCACCGUAGAAUUAAAGGUGUCCCCGGGCAACGCAGAGCUGGGACACAUCCCAUGGCUGGUUAGUGCCGUCUGGGGCAAGGUGGUCCCUGUGGGCUGCAGAAAGGAGGCAACAUGGAGGAUGAAAAAGAAAGGAGGCGUAGAAGCCAAUUGAGCAGGAUCCCUGAAGAAGAUGGUGGGUAGGCAAAGCACACCCACGAUGCCGGGCACACGAUGCCGGGCCAAGAAGGUGAAGUUUCCACAGCAACACAUCCUAGCAAUUGACAACUCAAGGCUUUUACGAGACAGAGUUACUAAGCGAGAGAUGGAUGCCCCUCACCUUGAGCCGGCUGUGAGUCGUCCAGUACCUUCCCUGCGUACUCUGUUACCUGGAGUGACGGCGGUCCGUCUCACAGCAGCGCCGACAAAUGAUCAGGACACCAAAGAUAAGCACGAGGGUUCCUCCAAUGAAGAUGGAAAGAAGCACCAAGAGUAACACAUACCCAUCCUGGCCAUUCACCUCACUAGGGAAAAGGAUCGAAGAAGCAAAGGGAAAUCUACAUACAUAUAUCAAAAGGGGCAGAAGCGGUGAUGCAAAAGGAGGUCUGUGUUGCCUGGGAUUUCUUCCUUCCUUCCUCCCUUCCUUCCUUGGUGCCUGCUUUUCUGUCUCUGCUUUUUUGUUGUUUAUCUCCAGUUCUCCAUCCUUCCUUCCUCUGAGCUCACAUGUUCAAGCAGGAGGGGGAAAAUAUAUGUAUCAUGGCCGGUUUAGCUCAGAGCAUCCUUGGCUCCAUCACCUGCCACUGCUCAAAGCUGGACCAUGGAUUUUCUGCCGCACGGCUUGCUCUUUUUACCGUCUCUUUUUGGGAAGCGAGGUGCCUCUCCUUCGUUGCCAAGAUCCAACUGGGAAGGGAGAGAGAAGACAAGGUAGACUGCUCCUGGAGACAGAGGUUCGACUUAGCUACCCUGGUUAAGAACAGCUGGCUGAUUUCUCUAGGAACAUCUCCCUGAUACAAUGGGCGACAUGGAGGGCGAGAUCCAACCCACAAUGUGUCUUUGUGUUGAGAGAAGAAGCCGUAGGAAGAUGCCACAACAAGAUCACAGCUGCUUUCCCCCAGACAUCUGGAUCCAUCCCACAGCAUCGCCAUGCCAUUCCUAUCCAAUCCAAUGGGGCUUACUCUCAGGGAAUCCAUGGACCGGAUCCUUUGGAACCAAGUGCCCUCUGCCGGCAAGGAAAGGCACCGCCCCAGUUUUUAUGCCUACAGUAUUUGCCAUGUUUCAUUCAUCCCAGGAGGAUCUGGAUAACUAGAAAUUGAGAGGCGGUUUUCAGAAACUGCCCUGUACAAGCAACCUGGAAGAUGUGAAGGAUCGUGGAGGAAGCUGAAAGGUAUGGAAAAAUGGACUUGCCAUCCAGUUACAAAAUGCAGGAGAGCUGGCGUUACAACAAGAGAGGUACAGUGUUACCCCAAAUCCACAGAAUGGUGAUACUGGGCCACCCAAAAUGCACACCAUACACGUUGCAAAGCUUAAAAAUGGAACAAGUGGCACACAGUUGUUAUAGUUGGACACUUUGGAAUAAAAAUACAUUUAUUUACCAAAGAUCCCUCAAGAGAACUAGCUGUAAAUUUCAAUCGACCCUUGAGAUUGGAUUUGAUAGUCGCAGCUCCAAAUACUUGUGGCCAUUAUGCACCGUCCCCUUUUAAACCAAAGGCAAUUCUUCUACCUCAUGGGAUUUCAGACCCAUUUUGGGUGCUGCAGGAAAGGGUUUUGGUCCCAAAAGGAUGGGACUAAAAUAUCACCUUCUUUUCCUAAUUUAUAUAUACAGGCAUCCCAACCCUAUUUCAUGGGUGGGAUGGGGAUACAAAAGUUGGGAGGAUGCCAAGGGAUGUGCCAUGGGAGGGGAUGGCAUUCUGGGGAAUGCUCCCUAAGAGCAAGACCAGAAUACUAGGAUGUAAUUUAGUCCCAGGGUUCACAGAAACAGUUGGAAGAGGCCUCAGAGGCCAUUUUAAAGAGAGAGAAAACCCAUGAGAUUCUAAUUCAAACCUUUGCAGCCACUCUUGGUUGUGUGCCAUCAAAUCAUUUCCAACUUAUGAUUUUCCCCGGAGGUUUGCCUUCAUCUCAGGAUGAGAGUGUGUGACCUACCCAAGGCCAGGCAAGGCUUUCUAUGGCCAAAAUGGGGAUUUGAACCCUGACUUCCCAAAGGCUUACUCCCAACACUCACACCACCUACUGGCUUUAGUGCCUUUGGCAGCUUCUUGAAAACGUUGGCUAAAACCUGAAACCAAUGCAUCACCCCAGACUGAGAACCCAUCACCCAGUGUCUAGCCCAUUGCCAACCCAUUCUAGUUUCUGAGCAAGGCCUAUUUAUAGAAUUGUUUGGAAUCCAUAGCAACCACUAUAUUUCCCUCAAAGGCACCAGAUCCCAUCUGAUCUUGGAAGCUCAGCAGGGCCAGCUGUGGUGAAUACUUGGCUGGGAGUUGCUGUUAUGUGCCCUCCUCAAGUUGUUUCCAACCCUAAGGCUUUCUUGGCAAGUUUCUUCAGAGGUUUGCCACUGCCAUCUUCCAAGGCUGGGUGGGACUUGCUCACCCAAUGGAUCUACACUGCUAAGCAAGGAUUUGAACCCUGAUCUCGAGUCAUAGUCCAACUUUCUAACCACAACACACUGGCUCUCUAGACUUGACCAAUCAAGGUGCAGCAGGUUGUAUUUCAGAGGCAGGACCAGGCCUCCAUCUGAAAAUACUCCUUGCCUAAGAAAACCCUCUGAAAUUCAUGCAGUCAUCAUUAAAAGCAACUAUUUAUUUUCCCAUUCUUGGUUGAGAAAGGGUAGCAUUUCAUUAUUAGCCCUAUUAAUAACCUUCCCUCUAUGUCGCUUUAGAACUCGGUCAGGCAGGUCACAAAUGAAAUGAGUAAAUGUUACUCAGUUGAGUAUCACAGUACAAUGUGCUCUAGAAUUACUCCACAAUUAGUCACAAGGUUUGUGGGUUCCAUUACAAUCUCUCCCAAUCUGAUCAUGCUCUCCAGACAUUGGAAAUAACCUCCGGUAACCAAACCAGGUUAAGCAUCUGGGGAGCUGUAUUCCAAUACACCUGGAGGAAAGUGGGACUAAAUUUGAGCAAGGAGAGACUGCCUAAAACGUUAUGACACAUUUAUACUGAUCCUAUACAGAUUAUACAAGACCCUUUCAAAGAUGAGUGAUCAUCUUAAAUGGCCUGCAUUUUACAAGGCUCUACACUGCAGCCAGCAGUAAUGGCUUAUAUAGGGUUUGUAUCUAUGUUGUU